AACGAACGCUGGCGGCAUGCCUAACACAUGCAAGUCGAACGAGACCUUCGGGUCUAGUGGCGCACGGGUGCGUAACGCGUGGGAAUCUGCCCUUGGGUUCGGAAUAACUUCGGGAAACUGAAGCUAAUACCGGAUGAUGACGUAAGUCCAAAGAUUUAUCGCCCAAGGAUGAGCCCGCGUAGGAUUAGCUAGUUGGUGAGGUAGAGGCUCACCAAGGCGACGAUCCUUAGCUGGUCUGAGAGGAUGAUCAGCCACACUGGGACUGAGACACGGCCCAGACUCCUAC
rnacentral:rRNA from 1 species